GAUGAACGCUGGCGGCGUGCCUAAUACAUGCAAGUCGAGCGAACGGACGAGAAGCUUGCUUUUCUGAUGUUAGCGGCGGACGGGUGAGUAACACGUGGAUAACCUACCUAUAAGACUGGGAUAACUUCGGGAAACCGGAGCUAAUACCGGAUAAUAUUUUGAACCGCAUGGUUCAAAAGUGAAAGACGGUCUUGCUGUCACUUAUAGAUGGAUCCGCGCUGCAUUAGCUAGUUGGUAAGGUAACGGCUUACCAAGGCAACGAUGCAUAGCCGACCUGAGAGGGUGAUCGGCCACACUGGAACUGAGACACGGUCCAGACUCCUACGGGAGGCAGCAGUAGGGAAUCUUCCGCAGUGGGCGAAAGCCUGACGGAGCAACGCCGCGUGAGUGAUGAAGGUCUUCGGAUCGUAAAACUCUGUAUUAGGGAAGAACAUAUGUGUAAGUAACUGUGCACAUCUUGACGGUACCUAAUCAGAAAGCCACGGCUAACUACGUG
rnacentral:rRNA from 1 species